rnacentral:lncRNA from 1 species
AUAUUUUGGGAGUUUUUUGGGAAUUCUCUGGGAAUGUUUUGGGAAUUCUCUGGAGAAUUUUUUGGGGAAUUUUUUUGGGAAUCUGGGAAUUUUUUGGGAAUUUUUUGGGAACAUUUUGGGAACAUUUUGGGAAUUCUCUGUUAAUUUUUGGGAAUUCCCAGGCUACGAGCUGUCCAAGCUGGAGAGCACCGUGGGCUCCCCGGAGAAGCCGCUCUCGGACCUGGGCAAGCUCAGCUACCGCAGUUACUGGUCCUGGGUGCUGCUGGAGAUCCUCAGGGACUUCCGGGGGACCCUCUCCAUCAAGGACCUCAGGUGGGACCAGUACAAACCAGUUCAAACCAGUUCAAACCAGUAUAAACCAGUACAGAGCAAAAAAUCCCCAUAGAAAUCCAUGGAAAUCCAUGGAAACCAGUAUAAACCAGUAUAAACCAGUGACCCCUUCGGGUUCCUCAGGGACUUCCGGGGGACCCUCUCCAUCAAGGACCUCAGUCAGAUGACCAGCAUUACUCAGACUGACAUCAUCAGCACCCUGCAGUCCCUGAACAUGGUGAAGUACUGGAAGGGGCAGCACGUCAUCUGCGUCACCCCCAAACUGGUGGAGGAGCAUCUCAAGAGCGCCCAGUACAAGAAACCACCCAUCACCGGUCAGUAAUUAACGCUCCUCGUUAAUUAACCCUCGCUAAUUAACACCCCUUCUUCAUUAACCCCCGCUAAUUAACAUCCCCUCCUUAAUUAACGCACCCCUCGGGGAUUAACUGCCGUUAAUUGGCGCUCCUCAGUGAUUAAACGCCGUUAAUUAGCGCCCCUCAGUGGUUAAACACCAAUAAUUAACGCCCCUUCUUCGUUAAUCCCCACUAAUUAACACCCCUUGGUGGUUAAACGCCGUUAAUUAGCGCCCCUCGGUGGUUAACUGACGUUAAUUAGCCCCCCUUGGUCGUUAAACGCCAUUAAUUAGCACCCCUCCUUAAUUAACCCACGCUAAUUAGUGCCCCUUCUCCGUUAAUCCCCGCUAAUUAGCGCCCCCUCCUUAAUUAACGCACCCCUCCAGGAUUAACUGCCGUUAAUUGGCGCUCCUCAGUGAUUAAACGCUGUUAAUUAGCGCUCCUCGGUGAUUAAACGCCAUUAAUUAGCGCCCCUCGGUGGUUAACUGACAUUAAUUAACACCCCUUCUUCAUUAACCCACGCUAAUUAACACCCCCUCCUUAAUUAACGCACCCCUCGGGGAUUAACUGCUGUUAAUUGGCGCUCCUCAGUGAUUAAACGCCAUUAAUUAGCGCCUCUUGGUCGUUAAACGCCGUUAAUUAGCGACCCUCGGUGGUUAACUGACGUUAAUUAGCGCUCCUCCUUAAUUAACCCACGCUAAUUAGUGCCCCUUCUUCAUUAAUCCACGCUAAUUAACACCCCCUCCUUAAUUAACGCGCCCCUCGGGGAUUAACUGCCGCUAAUUGGCGCUCCUCAGUGAUUAAACGCCGUUAAUUAGCACCCCCUCGGUGAUUA